CUUCAGGUCAUGAGUCCAGCACUGUUGGUCUCAGUCCUCUUGGCUGCCCUGCAAAGGUUUGAACAUCCCCGUUACUGACCGUCCGAAAAUCCCACCCUCCAGUUGCAGGACACUUCUGUCACCCACAGGGGCAACUGGGCUCACUGGUCUUAAUAGGCACAAGGGGCUGUCCCUCCUCCAAACUUUUCAGCCCAGAAUUUCUCUGGCCACUCUUCACGCGGGCUGACAGGCUGUGGCCAUGUCUCCCCUCUCCUCUCUUUGCUGGCCGGGGCACUUGGUCUGACUGACCCCAAACAUAGAGAGUCUAUCCCAACCCAAACACUGGGCUACACCUCUGACUGUGUGGGGCCUAAGGGGUGUCACUGUUCCCACCGGGGACCACCUCCCUUUGGCCUUGCUAUCCCACCCCUCCUCUCAUCGUGACCUGCAGAUCCCAGAGCUCCCAUUCUCCUGGUCACUCCCGGACUGUCUUCUCUCGUUUCUCUGCAGAGUCCAGAAAAACCUAGGCUGACCAUGGCAGAUGAGCCUUCCUUCAACAAUGACCAACAAUUUCCAAACCGACAGAAACUGUACCGUGAAGAAUAACUCCUCACAAUUCCAGCUCCCUGGCCCACCCGGUGAUGACUUCUGAUCUACUUUCUCUCUCUAUUAACUUCACCAUUCAACAUAUUUCAUAGACAGGCUUUUCUGAGUCCAUUCCCAGAUUGCAGCCUUGACUGAUGAGUGACACUUCCAGACUCUUCCAGCCCAACAACUCUUGGCACCAGGGAGUUUGGAGGCAUACUUCUAAUGCGGAUUCACUGAAGACUUGUUUCAGAAAAGGUGACGAGUCCUUGCUUCCCCAAUGUUGAAGAAUAACACCAAAGAAGCACGCUGAGG